AUGACACCAUAUAAUUUAAAUGAAUAGACUUGACAAAGCAAGUCACACAUUUCAAAAUGAAUUACUUGAGAAGGAAUUCUUUUGUGUAUGAUUCGUUUAAAUAACUUGUGUUAGCUAAAGUUGUUAAUAGUCUCAAAAUAGUUGAGACAUCAUCAAUAAGCUAAUGGAUCUUAAUGAUUGUCAAUAGAUCCAAGACAAGUUAGUGGGAGCAAUAUGCAUUCAAAUCAAGAAAAUAUAAUUGUUAAGUUUUUUGAAUGAAUGUUAAGUUACAACAUGGCCAGUGGGAGUGAUGUCAUAAUUUGAGCAACAAGAUAUGAAUAAAGUCUAUUUGAUAGACUUGAUAGAACAUAGAUGUUACUCGAAAAAUUGACAAAACAUGACACGGUCAAUUUUGAAGUAUAGACUUGAAAUUGGACUUAUUGAUAUAGCAAGGCUAUCUCAAGGAUGUUAUUUGGGGAAAUUAAAUCUCAAAUGUUGAAGAUUUAAGAAAGCAUUUUCCUAUAUGAUAGAAAAAUCACUUUCGUAACCCUUAUAAUGAAUGUGUCACAAAAUCACAAAAGGGGCACAUGUAUGGACUUGUGAGUAGAUAUCCAAAAGUGAAAAACCACAUGGGUUGUCACUUUAAGAUAUUACUAAAUCCCAGGAUCAGAACCAUAGCAACUGAUAGAGUAUUAUUGCCUUUAAGAAAGGAACAUCAGAGUAUGACUCUGGAAGCGUGCAUUCACUCAGGUUAUUAAUCAAAGUGAAAAUAACCCAUUUUAACAAAUGGAGCUUCAUAAUGGAUGAAGUACUAAUCAUAUGAAUGUAUUGUAAGUAUUGUACUACAAUGGUCUCAAGGGUUGGAGCAAAGUUUGUAUAACGUAUACUAACGAAAUAUAUGACGAUAUAUUGUUUUAGAAACUGCUUCAAAAGGUGUUUUGAAUGGAAGGGGUUCUUUUAGAACCAAUGAUUGAAUCCAAACCAUAAGGUCGUUGGUAGGAUACUACGACGUAAUGGGGCGAUAGCUCAAGCAAUGGAAUCAAGGUCUCAUCAAAGUAUUCGAACACAAGAAAGAGACAUCAUCAAAUGUUUUGGAAACAUUUGAUAAGUGAAUCCCUUUUAAAUAAAAAGGAUUAAUACAUAACCAAGUUAACCUACGAGCAUAAGCUCUCUCAACUAGAAUGUAUAAGAUACACUAGUGAUUGACUUUAGUGCAAAUGGGAGAUUGUUGGAAAUAUGCCCUGAAAGACAAUCUUUGGAAUAAACCUUUCAGGACAAUAAAUGGAUGUAUAGAUGACUCUUAUACAUCAAAUGGCGAAGAUACUAUUUAGGACUAUCUCUAUAAACGAUAUAUGUCCUAAAUGGUGAAUCCAUGGACAAUGGAUCGAUUGAAGAAGUAAUCUAAUGAUGUUAGACUACAGAGACCUUCUUCACAUAACCAUAAUGUCCAAAAGGUUCCUGGUCAUAGAAUUGUCGGAGGGAUACUGACAAUGCAUAGACCGGUAUGUACUAUGUCCACUUCGAUUAGAAGGAUGGAAAGUCUCAUCCCAUUCGUGUAGUGAUACUAAGACAAGUAUGUAGGUGCUCAUUAAGGGAAUGAGUUCACUGAACACAAUCGAACGAGAGUACUUGCAUGGAGGUCUACUCACAUGUCAAGCAAGUGACUCUAAUGGUUGGAAUAAUGUAAGUAGUCCUUUGACCUGAGGCAUCAUCGUUGUCUUGUGGUUAAGUACUUGAUCUUUGAUUAUGUCAAAGUCACUCCAUCCGCGGGUGUCCACGGCAUAGUCGGGGUUAAGCCACUUAGUCAUGAAGGCAAGUGAAUGCGCAACAAGGAAUCUCUAAUCCUCGUUAAGAGAUGAUGAAUACUCUAAGAUAUGAUUCGGGAAUCUUCGGCCGAAGUAUCGAGCGUUAUAAAGGAAAGCGUUCCUAUACGACUCAAUUGAAUCAUAUAAGAAGGAAUAAUCACAUUAGGGGUUUGACAUAAUAUAUCCAUACCCUAGUGAUGUGAUUGAGAGUAUUAUUUUAGAGAAGGAUCGAAUUGCAUUGUAAUUCCAACUGAAUAGGUUCUCCGAACAACUUCUACAUUAGCUUAGGUAGCCAUGAUAUAUGGUUAGAUGUCCCU
rnacentral:lncRNA from 1 species